UGCGGAAUGGAGAAGUCAGUCAUCUCGCUUGGCUCAUAACCAAGAGAUCGUGCGUGCAAAUCGCACUUCCGCAA
rnacentral:tRNA from 1 species